rnacentral:rRNA from 1 species
UACGGGGGGGGCAAGCGUUGUUCUGAAUUACUGGGCGUAAAGGGCUCGUAGGCGGCCAACUAAGUCAGACGUGAAAUCCCUCGGCUUAACCGGGGAACUGCAUCUGAUACUGGAUGGCUUGAGAUUGGGAGAGGGAUGCGGAAUUCCAGGUGUAGCGGUGAAAUGCGUAGAUAUCUGGAGGAACACCGGUGGCGAAGGCGGCAUCCUGGACCAACACUGACGCUGAGGAGUGAAAGCCAGGGGAGCAAACGGG